rnacentral:SRP_RNA from 1 species
GCCGGGCGCGGUGGCUCACGCCUGUAAUCCCAGCACUUUGGGAGGCUGAGGUGGGCGGAUCACCUGAGGUCAGGAGUUCAAGACCAGCCUGGCUAACAUGGUGAAACCCCAUCUCUA